rnacentral:lncRNA from 10 species
CCCCGUUAUAUGCGACAAGCAUUUUUCACGCACUGCUCAUUUCAUUCUCUCAAUGACCCUUUCAGGCAAAUAUACUUUGUUCCUUUUUAACUGAUCAUGAAACUCUCCUGUCAGGUGAAGGAACUUCCAGGAAGGUGUUUGGCAAGUGGUGGGGAUUGGAUUUGAACCUGGGCCUGCUGGACUCCACAAGCCUGUGCUCCUGGCACAAAGGUGUUCACUCCCUGAGUGCCUGCACCAAUGCCCUAGGUCCCCUCCUUCUUCUCACCUCCUCUGUCAACUCU